GACGAACGCUGGCGGCGUGCUUAACACAUGCAAGUCGAACGGAAAGGCCCUGCUUUUGUGGGGUGCUCGAGUGGCGAACGGGUGAGUAACACGUGAGUAACCUGCCCUUGACUUUGGGAUAACUUCAGGAAACUGCGGCUAAUACCGGAUAGGAGCUCCUGCUGCAUGGUGGGGGUUGGAAAGUUUCGGCGGUUGGGGAUGGACUCGCGGCUUAUCGGCUUGUUGGUGGGGUAGUGGCUUACCAAGGCUUUGACGGGUAGCCGGCAUGAGAGGGUGACCGGCCACAUGGGGACUGAGGGAGGGCCCAGAAGCGUACGGGAGGCAGCAGUGGGGAAUAUGGCACAAUGAGCGGGAGCGUGAGGCAGCAGCGCCGCGUGCGGGAUGACGGCCUACGGGUGAUAAACCGCUUUCGCCUGUGACGAAGCGUGAGUGACGGUAAUGGGUAAAGAAGCACCGGCUAACUACGUG
rnacentral:rRNA from 1 species